rnacentral:rRNA from 1 species
UACGGGGGGGGCAAGCGUUGUUCGGAAUUACUGGGCGUAAAGGGCUCGUAGGUGGCCAACUAAGUCAGACGUGAAAUCCCUCGGCUUAACUGGGGAACUGCGUCUGAUACUGGAUGGCUAGAGUGUGGGAGAGGGAUGCGGAAUUCCAGGUGUAGCGGUGAAAUGCGUAGAUAUCUGGAGGAACACCGGUGGCGAAGGCGGCAUCCUGGACCACAACUGACACUGAGGCGCGAAAGCUAGGGGAGCAAACAGG